rnacentral:tmRNA from 1 species
GGGGUCGACUGGUUUUGACAGCGAGGUCUAUGGAUCAGUAAGCAUGUCGCGUCAUGAUAUUGAAACGCGUUAAAGGCGAUAUCAAAUUUUAAACGGCGAGAAUAACUACGCUUUAGCUGCUUAAUAAUCUGAAUUAUAGUAAGAUUUAAGCCUGGUCCCGCAAGGCGGGAAAGCUAAAUGUCUCUUGAAAGCCCUGGUAUACGGCGUUCAGCAUAGAGGCAUCGUAAAAGUAAACCUAGAGAAGAUAAUGCUUUGGUGUCUUCUCGAAAUUAAAAAGCUAAGUUAUAAGUAUGCAGUUU